AGGAGUUUGAUCCUGGCUCAGAACGAACGCUGGCGGCAUGCCUAACACAUGCAAGUCGAACGAGACCUUCGGGUCUAGUGGCGCACGGGUGCGUAACGCGUGGGAAUCUACCCUUGGGUUCGGAAUAACAGCGAGAAAUUGCUGCUAAUACCGGAUGAUGGCUUCGGCCCAAAGAUUUAUCGCCCAGGGAUGAGCCCGCGUAGGAUUAGCUUGUUGGUGAGGUAAAGGCUCACCAAGGCGACGAUCCUUAGCUGGUCUGAGAGGAUGAUCAGCCACACUGGGACUGAGACACGGCCCAGACUCCUACGGGAGGCAGCAGUGGGGAAUAUUGGACAAUGGGCGAAAGCCUGAUCCAGCAAUGCCGCGUGAGUGAUGAAGGCCUUAGGGUUGUAAAGCUCUUUUACCCGGGAUGAUAAUGACAGUACCGGGAGAAUAAGCUCCGGCUAACUCCGUGCCAGCAGCCGCGGUAAUACGGAGGGAGCUAGCGUUGUUCGGAAUUACUGGGCGUAAAGCGCACGUAGGCGGCUAUUCAAGUCAGAGGUGAAAGCCCGGAGCUCAACUCCGGAAUUGCCUUUGAAACUAGAUAGCUAGAAUCUGGGAGAGGUGAGUGGAAUUCCGAGUGUAGAGGUGAAAUUCGUAGAUAUUCGGAAGAACACCAGUGGCGAAGGCGGUCACUGGACCAGUAUUGACGCUGAGGUGCGAAAGCGUGGGGA
rnacentral:rRNA from 1 species